UAAUGGGCAAAAAGGGAAAGUCAACCAAACAGCUUGAUGCAUGUAAGCACUGAACACAUUGUGGUUGUAGAGUUUUAAUUAUACAAAAACCACAAUUUGAACACUGACAUAUUUUUACACUUGGAUACACUGACCAGAGACUGAAGGCUGAACGAGUCUCACACAGACAGAAGGAGAUGUGCAGGAGUUUAAAGUUUUGUAUUCGAUGUUGGCUGUAAGGUCAAUACACGCGAGCAACACGGACAUUGGCAGAGCAACUGUAGCGCUGGUUCAACAUGGAAGGAGUAACAAUAAACAACAGGCAAUAGCAGCAAUUGUACAGUGCCUUGUACAGGUAUUCAUACCGCUUUCACAUUUUGUCACAUUAUAAUCACGAACUUGAAUAUGUUUUAUUGGGAUUUUACAUGAUAGAACAACACAGAAUAGUGCAUAAAUAUGAAAUGGAAGAAAAUGCUGCGUUUGUAUUCAGCCCUGCUCUGUCACAACCUCACAGAACGUUCUUCCAUGAUGACAACCGAAAACAUCCAGCCAGAACUACAACGGGACAGUUCAGGUCGCAGCACAGUCAUUGGUUUAAAUGGCCCAGUCAAAGUCCAGACCUACAUUCAAUAGAAAAUCUGUAGCAAGACUUAAAGAUUGCUUCACAGAUGUCCUCUUUCCAAUCUGACUGAGCUUCAGCUGCAGUAUUUUGCCAGAUGUUUUUGCUCAUCUACAGGUGGACUCGAGCUGCAGAGCAUUCUUACUCCAGACGGUUUGACAACAAUGUCGGCCCAGCCAUCAAAGUGAUUUCAGCUUCAGCUCCUCCGGGACGGUUUUCCUCAAGGUACAGGAGUGUGUUGACGGGAAUUUUUGACCGUUCUUUCAUAACAGCAUCGAAGAGGACGGGACAGGCCAGACUGCACAGAACAAUCAGGGCUGAGCUUCCCUCUGUCCUCGACUUGAACAGAUCUAAUAAUAAUAGCUUUUAUUCAUAAUGCCCUCUAUAUCUUGAGAUCUCCAGUGGGUAAAAACUAGGGUAAGGAAAUGGUUAAGUAACAUCUCAGAAGACUUCACAAUAUUGGACACAAAAUGUUCAGACAUCCACCUUCAGGUGGCGCUAUAGAGAGCUAUUUGCAAAAAGCAGCCGUCAUAGUCUGUAUGUAUACAUAGUUAUAUAUAAAUACAUAUGACAUUGAACAUCUUAAGCUGUAACCUGUAUUUCACUUUUAGAGCUUUUGCAGGCGUCAUUUGCUCAUUUUGAAUCUGAUAAAAUCAACUGUGCCCAUGGCGUUCCACAAGGCUCAAUGCUUGAUCCUCUUCAGUUUGAUUCCGGUACCUCACUGCUGUCAUUAGACAACACAACAUACAGAAAGUCACCACCUCUUUGCUGAUGAUAUAAAGUGAAACCUUUCAGUUUCCUCCAUCAAACUUAGCCUUUUGAAUAAUGUCUUUUCGUGCUUCACCGAUGUUAAAUGCUGUCUGUGUAGAAUUUCUUGAAUGCCAAAUAAAUACGUGAUUAAUUCUCUUGGAAGAUGCCAAUGGACAGUAAAAUUAAAUGAAACCUUUCACUAUU